UACGUAGGGGGCAAGCGUUGUCCGGAAUCAUUGGGCGUAAAGAGCGUGUAGGCGGCCCGAUAAGUCCGCCGUGAAAGUCCAGGGCUCAACCCUGGAAUGCCGGUGGAAACUGUCGGGCUGGAGUCCGGAAGAGGCGAGUGGAAUUCCUGGUGUAGCGGUGAAAUGCGCAGAUAUCAGGAGGAACACCGGUGGCGAAGGCGGGUCUCUGGGCCGAAACUGACGCUGAGGAGCGAAAGCGUGGGGAGCGAACAGG
rnacentral:rRNA from 1 species